GUGUCAGCAGCCGCGGUAAUACGGAGGGUGCGAGCGUUAUCCGGAUUCACUGGGUUUAAAGGGUGCGUAGGCGGGUAUGUAAGUCAGUGGUGAAAUCUUGGAGCUUAACUCCGAAACUGCCACUGAUACUAUAUAUCUUGAAUAUUGUGGAGGUUUGCGGAAUAUGUCAUGUAGCGGUGAAAUGCUUAGAUAUGACAUAGAACACCUAUUGCGAAGGCAGCAGGCUACACAUAUAUUGACGCUGAGGCACGAAAGCGUGGGGAUCAAACAGGAUUAGAAACCCUAGUAGUCC
rnacentral:rRNA from 1 species